UAAUUACUCAAGGCAAAAGCUUACAUUAAUAAAAACCGAGUAAGUGAUUAUAAGGGAAUCUAAUUGAUUUAUGGUGUUGAAGACCUUGCUUCUAAAGUGUAGGGAUCCUAAAAUAGAUCAUGUGAUGCCCACCUGUGUAGUGCAGGUUUUUUUAUCACUGUAAGUGUUCCCUUGAGUUUUUUA
rnacentral:other from 1 species